UACUCACGCUUGAAUUAAGCAUAUCAAUAAGCGGAGGAAAAGAAACCAACAGGGAUUGCCUUAGUAACGGCGAGUGAAGCGGCAAAAGCUCAAAUUUGAAAUCUGGCGCAAGCCCGAGUUGUAAUUUGAAGAAGGUAAUUUUUGGGAAGAUGUAGACAAAAGUUCCUUGGAACAGGACGUCAUAGAGGGUGAGAAUCCCGUUUUGUUUACCUCUCUUUCCUUGUAAAAUGCUUUCGAAGAGUCGAGUUGUUUGGGAAUGCAGCUCUAAGUGGGUGGUAAAUUCCAUCUAAAGCUAAAUAUUGGCGAGAGACCGAUAGCGAACAAGUACAGUGAUGGAAAGAUGAAAAGAACUUUGAAAAGAGAGUGAAAAAGUACGUGAAAUUGUUGAAAGGGAAGGGUUUUAAGGGAGACUUGGGGGGUAAUGAACAAUUUUCCUUUGGGAAGGUGCACUCGUUAUUCUCUGGGCCAAUAUGGGUUUGUGGAGUAGGAUAAAAGGGAAGGAAUGUGGCCAUUCGUGGUGUUAUAGCCUUCUCCAAUACUACUACCGUAGACCAAGGAAAGCGAUUUCUAGGAUAUUGGCGUAAUCCCUUUAAACCACCCGUCUUGAAACACGGACCAAGGAGUCUAACGUCUAUGCGAGUAUUUGGGUGUAAAACCCAUAAUGCGUAAUGAAAGUGAAUUAGAUAAGACGGCGCAAGCUGGCAUUAUCGACCGAUCCUGAAGUUCUCGGAUGGAUUUGAGUAAGAGCAUAGCUGUUGGGACCCGAAAGAUGGUGAACUAUGCCUGAAUAGGGUGAAGCCAGAGGAAACUCUGGUGGAGGCUCGUAGCGGUUCUGACGUGCAAAUCGAUCGUCAAAUUUGGGUAUAGGGGCGAAAGACUAAUCGAACCAUCUAGUAGCUGGUUCCUGCCGAAGUC
rnacentral:rRNA from 1 species